AGGACGAACGCUUGCGGCGUGCCUAAGAAAUGCAAGUCGAGCGGGAGUAGCAAUACUUUAGCGGCGAACGGUCGCGUAACACGUAGCCAACCUGCCCAGAAGACCGGGACAACACUCCGAAAGGGGUGCUAAUACCGGAUGUGCCCAUUUUGCCACAUGGCUUAAUGAGUAAAUCAUUUAUGGCUUCUGGAGGGGGCUGCGGCCUAUCAGCUAGAUGGUGGGGUAACGGCCUACCAUGGCGUCGACGGGUAGCUGGUCUGAGAGGAUGGUCAGCCGGACUGGGACUGAGAUACGGCCCAGACUCCUACGGGGGGCAGCAAUUAGGAAUCUUGCGCAAUGGGGGCAACCCUGACGCAGCGACGCCGCGUGGAGGAUGACGGCCUUCGGGUUGUAAACUCCUUUAUCGGGGAAGAAACAAAUGACGGUACCCGAUGAAUAAGCCCCGGCUAACUCCGUGCCAGCAGCCGC
rnacentral:rRNA from 1 species